GGAGAGGUCGCAUAGUGGCCUAGUGCACACGCUUGGAAAGCGUGCGUCGCCGAGAGGUGACCGAGGGUUCAAAUCCCUCCCUCUCCGCCA
rnacentral:tRNA from 1 species